GAACGAACGCUGGCGGCGUGCCUAACACAUGCAAGUCGAACGUGAUUAGAGAGCUUGCUCUCUAUGAAAGUGGCGCACGGGUGAGUAACGCGUAGAUAAUCUACCUUAUGAUCCGGGAUAACACUUCGAAAGGGGUGCUAAUACCUGAUAAGCCCACGGAGUCCUUGGAUUCUGCGGGAAAAGGGGGGGACCUUUAUCGGCCUUCCGUCAUCAGAUGAGUCUGCGUACCAUUAGCUAGUUGGUAGGGUAAAGGCCUACCAAGGCUACGAUGGUUAGCUGGUCUGAGAGGAUGAUCAGCCACUCUGGAACUGAGACACGGUCCAGACUCCUACGGGAGGCAGCAGUGGGGAAUUUUGCGCAAUGGGGGAAACCCUGACGCAGCAACGCCGCGUGAGUGAUGAAGGCCCUUGGGUCGUAAAGCUCUGACAGAGGGAAAGAAAUGUAGGGGGGCUAAUAUCCCCUUUACUUGACGGUACCCUCAAAGGAAGCACCGGCUAACUCCGUGCCAGCAGCCGCGGUAAUACGGGGGGUGCAAGCGUUGUUCGGAUUUAUUGGGCGUAAAGCGCGUGUAGGCGGUUUUAUAAGUCUGAUGUGAAAGCCCUGGGCUCAACCCGGGAAGUGCAUUGGAUACUGUAAGACUUGAAUACGGGAGAGGGCAGUGGAAUUCCUAGUGUAGGAGUGAAAUCCGUAGAUAUUAGGAGGAACACCGGUGGCGAAGGCGGCUGCCUGGACCGAUAUUGACGCUGAGACGCGAAAG
rnacentral:rRNA from 1 species